CGGGCCGGCUCCGGCCGACAGCGUCCGGCAGCGCGACAGAGCCCCGCCCCCACGCGGGGGCAAGCUUCCCGACGCGGUCCGCGAGCGGGGGAACCAGCUCCCGGUCUAACCCUGCUGUCUUGGGCGUCUUUAUCGGCUCCGGCCUGGAGAAGGGAGCGGGCGGCCCGGGCGUUGUUCACGGCGGCGGCCCAGUGCAGCGCGGUUUUUCCUAGAAGACGACGUGGGUGGUUGUUACUCUGAGGAAAGAGUCCCCUUCUUGAGUCCCUUUCCUCCUCACUCUUACUUGAGGCCAAUGCUGUCUUCACCCAGGGGAGGCCGGCGUCUGCGGGGAGCCGGCUGAGUUCGAGGCCUUCUAAUGAACCCAGGGGGCAGCCAGAGGGCCCCGUGCUCUCGGCGCCGCCUCCGGAUGAGCUGAAGGACGAGAAGAGCCCCAAGGGCCAGGAGAAGCACCCCGGCCACUGAGAGAUGCCUGAUAUUCCACUGCCUCUAGGGCACUGGUUGCUAAGUGGGGAGAGCUCUGGAGCAGUGGGCUUGGUCAGGCCCUGGAUGGCAGAAAAGGCAAACGAUUCCUGGAAAUACUGAGUGACUUGCACAAGUUGGUGGCAGAGCUUGGAUUCAGUAAUGAAAUCUCCGUGAGAACAGACGUGCUCGUGCGCCUGGGUGGCUCAGUCAGUUAAGCGGUUAAGCGUCUGCCUUCAGCUCGGGUCAUGAUCCUGUCCUGGGAUUGAGGCCUGCGUUGGGCUCCACCCGCGUUGGGCUCCCUGCUCAGUGGGGAGCCUGCUUCUCCCUCUCCCUCUGCUCUUCCCUCUGCCACUCCCCAGCUUGUGCUCUCUCUCUGUCAAAAUAAAUAAAUAAAAAU